ensembl:lncRNA
GGCGGUUCUAAGAACCCAGGUGGAAAAAGAGGUGCUCUAUUUUCACGCACUAAUUUUGUACUUAAUAUAACAAAAUUAAUAAACUUAAGGCCAUCUAAGUGUACUCAACUAUGCUAUUUUGGGACUCCAUCGAUAUUAACUAAAAUGUGCUAUUCUAUUUCUGUAUUUAAUUUUUUUUUUUAAUUUAGUAACCACUUGAGUGUACUAGUGUAUGAAAGAUGGGUUCAAGUGUACUACAAGUGGGAACAGAGAUAGAGUGUUAUAUACUCAUGUUCAUGGUGGUUUCAUGGAUGCAUCAUAUUUAUGGUGGUCAUAAUCCAUAAUAUUCUUGGUGGUUUAAUUUACAGAGGGGAAUGCCCAAGUAUAAGCUACUACCUACUGACCUUAAUGUAUAUCAGUCACUCCUCUCUCCCUUCUCUGCUUAUGUCUCCACUGCUGAAAGGACAUACUAUCCUAAUAAAAUUAACAAUUCGUCUAACUCUCACAUGCUCUUUAAAACAUUUUCCUCCCUCCUUUGUCCUCCCCCUCCUUCAUCAACUCCAACAGCUAACGACUUUGCCUCAUUUUUCAUUAAUAAAAUUGAAAACAUCAGUGCACAGUUUUCCACACCACAAUCUGUCAAGCACAUCUUACCAGCAAACAUACACCCAUUUACAUCCUUCUCUUCACUCUCUGAGACAGAAGUCUCCAAACUCAUCCUUUCUAAUCAUCCUUCUACUUGUCCGCUUGAUCCUAUUCCAUUUCAUCUCCUUCAAGCCAUUUCUCCUGCAGUUGUACCUGCACUCACUCACAUCAUUAACACAUCCCUUCACACUGGUGUUUUUCCCUCAACAUUUAGACAGGCUCAUAUAACUCCACUACUUAAGAAACCCACCCUCAACCCAUCUCUUUUAGAGAACUACAGACCAGUUUCCCUUCUCCCUUUCAUUGUAAAAAUACUUGAACGAGCUGUGCUCAACCAAGUCUCUACCUUUCUCAGACAGAACAACCUCCUCAACAGCAACCAGUCUGGUUUCAGAAGUGGACAUUCAACCGAGACUGCCUUGCUCUCAGUUGCUGAAGCUCUAAGACUGGCAAGAGCGGAUUCCAAAUCUUCA